GACGAACGCUGGCGGCGUGCCUAAUACAUGCAAGUCGAACGCUGAAGGAGGAGCUUGCUUCUCUGGAUGAGUUGCGAACGGGUGAGUAACGCGUAGGUAACCUGCCUGGUAGCGGGGGAUAACUAUUGGAAACGAUAGCUAAUACCGCAUAAUAGUAGAUGUUGCAUGACAUUUACUUAAAAGGUGCAAUUGCAUCACUACCAGAUGGACCUGCGUUGUAUUAGCUAGUUGGUGGGGUAACGGCUCACCAAGGCGACGAUACAUAGCCGACCUGAGAGGGGGAUCGGCCACACUGGGACUGAGACACGGCCCAGACUCCUACGGGAGGCAGCAGGAGGGAAUCUUCGGCAAUGGACGAAAGUCUGACCGAGCAACGCCGCGUGAGUGAAGAAGGUUGUCGGAUCGUAAAGCUCUGUUGUAAGAGAAGAACGAGUGUGAGAGUGGAAAGUUCACACUGUGACGGUAUCUGACCAGAAAGGGACGGCUAACUACGUG
rnacentral:rRNA from 1 species